rfam:TPA: Bos taurus chromosome 10, whole genome shotgun sequence.
UCCCUGGUGGCUCAGAUGGUAAAGCAUCUGCCUACAAUGCAGGAGACCCGGGUUCAAUCCCUGGGUCGGGAA